rnacentral:rRNA from 2 species
GAUUUCUGGUACGAUGCCCCUGAUCCGCGGCUUUCGGGCUGUGUGUGUUGGUGUGGCGUCUGCCAUCUUUUGUGAAUACUCGCCCAGGCCUUUACUGGUUUGGUGUCGACGUGUUUGCAAGUUUUACUUUGAAAAAAUUAGAGUGUUUAAAGCAGGCUUUUGCUAUGAAUACAUUAGCAUGGAAUAAUAAGAUAGGACUUCGGUUCUAUUUUGUUGGUUUCUAGUACUGAAGUAAUGAUUGAUAGGGACAGUUGGGGGUGCUAGUAUUCAGCGGCCAGAGGUGAAAUUCUUGGAUUCGCUGAAGACUAACUUAUGCGAAAGCAUU